CCGUAAGUGAAUUUAAGUGAAUGAGAAACUCAGCACAAUGUGAAAAUGAAAAGUUUGAUAUAGAUUUGCAGCAACGAAUGGACGAGCAAACUCCAAAUAAAAACAACAACAAACUUUAUUGCAAAAGCUUAGUGGAAUUCACAAGUUAGAUAAAACUUCAAAAGUUUACAAAGGCCUAGCAACAGCUGACGUAGAGGUAGGAAAUUUCAAGAAAAUCCAGUUUUCUCCGGUUAAAUUAAAGGUUAUCCUACGGAUAGUUAAACGCGGUACUAAACGGGCUUCGUACAACGCAAUUUUAUCGGCCGUUUAACUAUCCGCUGGAUAAGAAAUUUAUACGCUGGAUAGCGGCUAAACACCGUUUAAGUUAAACGCCUUUGAUACAACCGGCCCCAGAAG